GGGGCGGGUCUAAAGUGCCGGCGCCCUGAGCCCGGCCUCCGCGGGACUGGAGAGAGGCGCGCCCCCGGGCCCGGGCCCUCUCGCCCUUCGGCCUGCUGCCGUAAUGUCGGGGAGCCGGAGGCCCAGCGUGAGGGACCGUGUUCAGCCUUCCAAGCCCGCGGACUGCCGUCCUGCCAGCGCCCAGCCCCGCAGCCGGAGGCCGAACGUCCUGGGAAACUGAGGCCGAGUGUAAUCUCCAAACCCAAUGUGGGGCUCGAACUCAUGACCCCGAGGUGAAGAAUCUUAUGCUGUACUGACUGAGCCAACCAGGAGCCCGCUGCUGUGAGCCUUUUUAUUCCGUGACCUCUGGGAUAACUUCCUGGUACUGCACCAGCAGGCUCCCGCGACAUCAAGUGAACAUCUCCGGGUCUGCUAAGUGCUGUUCAUCGUGCAUCACCAAUAACAAACAUUACAGUAGCAGCUGCUAGUUCUUGAAUUCUUAUUGGCGGGUUUUACAUGAACUCUGGCUUGCAUUCUCUCAUUGGAUCUUUGCUUGUAAGGAGCUUUGGCAUUUCAGAGUCACACAUCCUCCGGACACUGGUCGUUGUGAGUUGCUAGGGAACCAGAGCAGCUGAGAACACUGGCGGGACUUCCUUCUCAGCGCGCUGGAGUCCUUGCACUGCAGCAGAAGCAAGCCAAGGAAAAAGCAGAACUGCGUGCGGGGAGAAGGGAAAAGAGCAACCCUUCCUGACCCAGAGCUGCAACUACUCUCUCCAGAAAUACCUGGAAGCUGGGGCGGGGCCUUGGCCUGGGAUAGGAGUGAUAGGUGUGGACUGAUCAGUGUCAGGGGAAGAGGGGGAGGGAGCAGAUGGGGAGAGCAGACCUCUCAGCCAACCAUGACUUCAUUACUUCCAUCACAUUACCUGUGCCCUUUGUGAGCAUAGUUCCAUCAUGGAGCGGCCUAGCCAUUCUGCUUGCCUUCUCUCAUAUGUAUCUGGUGAUCCCUUUCUCCACUUGGUCUUCAAGUUCUGACCCAGGGCUUACCACCACGAACACUCAGGGUAAGGCAUGACCUGGUGUGGAUGCAUGACAGUUUGGCAAGACCAGGGGCAGCAAGUUCCCUGGUCCAGGUCUUUCAGUCUCCUUUGCCACAGCUCCUUCAUGUCCCACUAGUGUGUGUAACUCUCCGUAAAGCCCCUGGAAAGGAGCCCAUCCCAACAUGCGGGGCCCUUGGCUUCUGUCCUCCAACAGUACUCCAAGUAACCUAGCUGAGGGACAGGCCACCUCUGAACCCUGCACCCCGGGGACCUCAAGCCACCUGAUCCCCAGGAGAUAGGACUGCUUGUAGCCAGCAGUCCCCUGAGAUGCCCUUUGACAGGAGCAGAGGCCCCCCUGUCUUGGGGAGCACCAGACCAAUGCUGGGGGUCUCUGCAGGACCUCAGAGGAGCAGCCAGGGUGGCCCAGGGAAAGGUGGAAGAGGGGGGAGUCCAGCUGGUCUGUCAGGAGCCCACAUGCCCGCACCUUUCACAGCCUCCUUGUUCCAAGCACCCCUCCAACACACACACAGUUUGGAUCUUCUGUGGGCUCCUGCCUUCUGCAGCGAUCAUUGUGGGCAUCGCACUACACCUUUCUCUGGAAGAAGGGCAGGAGCAGGGACGCUUAGAAUUUUAGAGCCGGGAGUGACCCUGCGGAUCUUCUGGCGUCCCGCCCUCUAGGGUCCUGAGGCAGGGAUUUAAAGAGAGCAACUGAAAAUAUGAAAAGAGGAGAGAGCAGGUUAGGAUGUGUGUUUCCUCUCUAGCUUUCGGCCUGGGUGUUUCCCUCCCAGUAUACACACAUGCACGUUCACACACACCUCAGCUCUGUUUUCCAUGAGAAGUUUUACCUCCUGAAGCAUAUUUCUUGCAACCUCCCAAGCACUGAAAACCAAGUCCAAAGUGGCCUCUCAAAACUCUCAUAUGUGCCUUGAUCAGACUCAGUGAGCGUGCCUGCCAGAUCUCCCAGGAAGGCUGCUUGGAGGUGUGGGGUGCGGUGCAGAAAGGCCUGCGCCAGCAUCUCCUCCCCCACCCCUCCGACCCCAAUCUCCCCUCACAAGUGUGCAGAGAGAAAUCUAUAUUCCCAGGCAAAGACGUGACAAAGGUAGUGGGAGUGGAGCAGCAAACUUAUGUUGGGGCUGGAAGGAAAUGUAGAGUUCUUUCAGUCCAAUUCUUCCGUAUUAGGGGAGGAAACUGAGGCACAGAUGGGGGAGGUGCCAUUGGCUGGGGAGUCAGAGCCAAGGUCAAGAAUCCUGUUCUACAGACAUUUAGUUUACUUCUGAGUACUGCUCCCAGGCCUCCCCCCACCCCCCCGCAGACUACAACCAGAGAACUGGCUCAUCACUCUGAGGGAGGAGUGUCUGGACUGGGCAAAAGAAGACUUCAGUUUGGGGGCGCUUGGGUGGCGCAGUCAUCAGGCAUCUGCCUUUGGCUCAGGGCGUGAUCCCGGCAUUCCGGGAUCGAGCCCCACAUCAGGCUCCUCCACUAGGAGCCUGCUUCUUCCUCUC